ACAUAUACUCCUCUAAACACCUCAAAAUGAAUCAAAAAGCAUAGCUGUAAGACAAUACGCACCUUUUAACAAAGAAAACGCCCGUGCAAACCAGGCUGCUUUUUACCAAAAAACUAGCCCCCUCCCCUAAUAACAACAAACCAACAUCCAUACCCCCGAACACACCACCCACCCAUUUAACAAACCAUUUUACCCCCCUAGUAUAGGCGAUAGAAAAGGACCCGGAAGCAACAGAGAAAGUACCGCAAGGGAACGUUGAAAGAGAACUGAAACAACCCAGUUAAGUCUAACAAAGCAGAGAUUCUGG
rnacentral:rRNA from 1 species